rnacentral:rRNA from 1 species
GACGAACCGUGCGAACGUUAUUCGGAAUCACGUGGCUUAAAGCGCGUGUAGGCGGGUGGGAACGUCGGCCGCUGAAAUCCCCCGGCUCAACCGGGGAAGGGCGCCGAAACGGCCCGCCUGGAGGGACGUAGGGGGAGCUGGAACUUCCGGGUGGAGCGGUGGAAAUGCGUUGAGAUCGGGAAGGAACGCCCGUGGCGAAAGCGAGCUCCUGGACGUUUCUGACGCUGA